rnacentral:rRNA from 1 species
UGGGGAAUUUUGGACAAUGGGCGAAAGCCUGAUCCAGCAAUGCCGCGUGUGUGAAGAAGGCCUUCGGGUUGUAAAGCGCUUUUUGNCCGGAAAGAAAUCCUUGGCUCUAAUACAGUCGGGGGAAUGACGGUACCGGAAGAAUAAGCACCGGCUAACUACGUGCCAGCAGCCGCGGUAAUACGUAGGGUGCAAGCGUUAAUCGGAAUUACUGGGCGUAAAGCGUGCGCAGGCGGUUUGCUAAGACCGAUGUGAAAUCCCCGGGCUCAACCUGGGAACUGCAUUGGUGACUGGCAGGCUAGAGUAUGGCAGAGGGGGGUUAGAAUUCCACGUGUAGCAGUGAAAUGCGUAGAGAUGUGGAGGAAUACCGAUGGCGAAGGCAGCCCCC